CAGUAGCCGCGGGAAUACGAAGGGGGCUAGCGUUGUUCGGAUUUACUGGGCGUAAAGCGCACGUAGGCGGAUCGAUCAGUCAGGGGUGAAAUCCCAGAGCUCAACUCUGGAACUGCCUUUGAUACUGUCGAACUGGAGUAUGGAAGAGGUGAGUGGAAUUCCGAGUGUAGAGGUGAAAUUCGUAGAUAUUCGGAGGAACACCAGUGGCGAAGGCGGCUCACUGGUCCAUUACUGACGCUGAGGUGCGAAAGCGUGGGGAGCAAACAGGAUUAGAUACCCCAGUAGUCCCUGUCUCUUAUAC
rnacentral:rRNA from 1 species